CACGUAGGGCGCAAGCGUUGUCCGGAAUUAUUGGGCGUAAAGAGCUCGUAGGCGGUCUGUUGCGUCCGCUGUGAAAACUCGGGGCUUAACCCCGAGCCUGCAGUGGAUACGGGCAGACUAGAGGUAGGUAGGGGAGAAUGGAAUUCCCGGUGUAGCGGUGAAAUGCGCAGAUAUCGGGAGGAACACCGGUGGCGAAGGCGGUUCUCUGGGCCUUACCUGACGCUGAGGAGCGAAAGCGUGGGGAGCGAACAGGAUUAGAUACCCGUGGUA
rnacentral:rRNA from 1 species